rnacentral:rRNA from 1 species
GGUCAGGAUGAACGCUAGCGACAGGCUUAACACAUGCAAGCGAGGGGCAGCACGGGAGUAGCAAUACUUUGGUGGCGACCGGCGCACGGGUGAGUAACGCGUAUGCAACCUACCUAUCAGAGGGGAAUAACCCGGCGAAAGUCGGACUAAUACCGCAUAAAACAGGGGCACCGCAUGGUGAUAUUUGUUAAAGAAAUUCGCUGAUAGAUGGGCAUGCGUUCCAUUAGGUAGUUGGUGAGGUAACGGCUCACCAAGCCGACGAUGGAUAGGGGAACUGAGAGGUUGGUCCCCCACACUGGUACUGAGACACGGACCAGACUCCUACGGGAGGCAGCAGUGAGGAAUAUUGGUCAAUGGGCGGGAGCCUGAACCAGCCAAGUCGCGUGAAGGAAGAAGGAUCUAUGGUUCGUAAACUUCUUUUGCAGGGGAAUAAAGUGCAGGACGUGUCCUGUUUUGUAUGUACCCUGAGAAUAAGGAUCGGCUAACUCCGUGCCAGCCGCAGC